AUUUCAAAUAAGUGGUUUUGUUGUUGAAAAAACAUUUGCUUGAUUUAGUAGAGGUGGGAACUGGUCGGCCUGUGGGUCGACCCAAAAGUAGGUGAUGGAUCUAACUGUGACCCACACUUGCAACGAAAUACGCCAAAUAUGUGGCAGCG
ensembl:ncRNA C54D2.9 ncRNA